UCUCCUGUCUCAUUCAGUCCUUGGUGCCACUCUAGCAGGAGGUGGAGCUUGACAGGCAGCACAUCAGAAACAAUCCGUCCAAGUACAGCUUUUACACCCUUGAUUGCUGCUGCUUUACAACAUCUGCUUGGUCCACUAUUAGGUAUGCAGCUCUUCAUGUUGGUGGUUUUAUUCACUGGGUUUACUGGUGUUUAUAGUGUGGUCCUCCCUCCUGACAAGAAGGAACUGAACAGUUUAGAAGAUACGACUGCUACUCUGUCCUACAGGCUCUCUCAAAAGGCUGAAAUUAAUGAUCAUUUCUUCUGGUACCGUCAGUAUCCCGGAGAACCUCCACAGUUCCUGCUGUACAUCUCAGGGUUUGGUAUCAACAGGACGGCUGAGUCUCUUGGUUCAGACAAAAGGUUUUCUACUGAACUGACUGAAGAGAAGACUGGAGUGGAUCUGAAGAUCUCCUCUGUUGCAGUGACAGACUCUGCUCUGUACUACUGUGCUCUGAGGCCCACAGUGACAGGAAACACACACUCCCUGUACAAAAACCUCUCAAGCACAAAACACACUUCCCGCCUCCCUGAGACCAGUACAGACAUUGCUGACAAAAUACAUAAACUCUUUUCAAGAUUUUUAUUCUGCAUAAGGAUACAAGUUUACCAUUCUCCUUUUUGAAAAAUAUUGACAUAU